rnacentral:miRNA from 1 species
GCUGACACAUCCCGGCCAAUCUCCAGCAGACCCUCCCUCCCAGACCUUCCUACUUCCUGGACAGCAUCCAUGUUGAAGGCAGCUUCAGCAUGUAUGCUGUCCAGGAGGUGGGAGGGUCUGGGAGGGAGGGUCUGCUGGAGAUUGGCCGGGAUGUGUCAG